GACGAACGCUGGCGGCGUGCUUAACACAUGCAAGUCAAGGGGGCCCAGCAAUGGGCAACCGGCGAACGGGUGCGUAACACGUGAGCAACCUACCGAACUGUGGGGGAUAGCCGGCCUAACGGCCGAGUAAUACCGCAUACGCUUUCAGUGAGGCAUUUCAUUGAAAGGAAACCUACGGGACAGAUCGAGGGGCUCGCGGCCUAUCAGCUAGUUGGCGAGGUAACGGCUCACCAAGGCAACGACGGGUAGCUGGUCUGAGAGGAUGGCCAGCCACAUUGGGACUGAGAUACGGCCCAGACUCCUACGGGAGGCAGCAGUGGGGAAUCUUGCGCAAUGGCCUAACGGCUGACGCAGCGACGCCGCGUGUGGGAUGAAGCUCUUCGGAGUGUAAACCACUGUU
rnacentral:rRNA from 1 species